AUGGCCAAGUCUAAGAACCACACCACACACAGCCAGUCCCGCAAAUGGCACAGAAAUGGCAUCAAGAAACCCAGGUCACAAAGAUACAAAUCUCUUAAGGGGGUUGACCCCAAGUUCCUAAGGAACAUGUGCUUUGCCAAGAAACACAACAAGAAAGGCCUGAAGAAGAUACAGGCCAAGAACGCAAAGGCAGUGAGUGCGCACGCAGAGGCCAUAAAGGCCCUGGUGAAGCCUCAGGCCAUCAAGCCCAAGAUGCCAAAGGGUCCCAGCCCCAAACUCAGCUGCCUGGCUUUCAUCGCUCACCCCAAGCUUGGGAAGCGGAUUCAAAGCUACAUGGCCAAGGGGCAUAGGCUCUGCCAACCAAAGCCCAAGGUUCAAACCAAGGCAGAGGCCAAAACUCCAGCUAAGGCCCAGGCUUCAGCUUCACCCCAGGCUCCCAAAGGUGCCGAGGUCCCUGUGAAGGCCCCAUAG
rnacentral:lncRNA from 1 species